rnacentral:rRNA from 1 species
AUUGAACGCUGGCGGCAGGCCUAACACAUGCAAGUCGAACGAGUGGCGGACGGGUGAGUAAUGUCUGGGACACUGCCCGAUGGAGGGGGAUAACUACUGGAAACGGUAGCUAAUACCGCAUACUAUCGGAUGAACCCAUAUGGGAUUAGCUAGUAGGUGGGGUAAAGGCUCACCUAGGCGACGAUCUCUAGCUGGUCUGAGAGGAUGAUGAGGCAAACGGGGAAUGAGAAACGGCCCAGACUCGUACGGGAGUCAGCAGUGGGGAAUAUUGCAGAAUGGGCGCAGGCCUGAUGCAGCCAUGCCGCGUGUAUGAAGAAGGCCUUAGGGUUUUAAAGCACUUUCAGCGGGGAGGCGUUCCCUGUAGAAGAAGCACCGGCUAAUUCCGUGCCAGCAGCCGCGGUAAUAC